rnacentral:rRNA from 1 species
GGCGCAGCUGAUCCAGCCAUGCCGCGUGAGUGAUGAAGGCCCUAGGGUUGUAAACCUCUUUCGCCGGGGACGAUAAUGACGGUACCUGGAUAAAAAGCCCCGGCUAACUUCGUGCCAGCAGCCGCGGUAAUACGAAGGGGGCUAGCGUUGUUCGGAAUCACUGGGCGUAAAGCGCACGUAGGCGGAUCUUUAAGUCAGGGGUGAAAUC